rnacentral:rRNA from 1 species
UAAUACGUAGGGCGCAAGCGUUAUCCGGAAUUAUUGGGCGUAAAGAGCUCGUAGGCGGUUUGUCGCGUCUGCCGUGAAAGUCCGGGGCUCAACUCCGGAUCUGCGGUGGGUACGGGCAGACUAGAGUGAUGUAGGGGAGACUGGAAUUCCUGGUGUAGCGGUGAAAUGCGCAGAUAUCAGGAGGAACACCGAUGGCGAAGGCAGGUCUCUGGGCAUUAACUGACGCUGAGGAGCGAAAGCAUGGGGAGCGAACAGGAUUAGAUACCCUGGUAGUCCAUGCCGUAAACGUUGGGCACUAGGUGUGGGGGACAUUCCACGUUUUCCGCGCCGUAGCUAACGCAUUAAGUGCCCCGCCUGGGGAGUACGGCCGCAAGGCUAAAACUCAAAGGAAUUGACGG